GCUUAACGCGAAGAACCUUACCACCUUUUGACAUGCCUGGACCGCCACAGAGAUGUGGCUUUCCCUUCGGGGACUAGGACACAGGUGCUGCAUGGCUGUCGUCAGCUCGUGUCGUGAGAUGUUGGGUUAAGUCCCGCAACGAGCGCAACCCUCGCCAUUAGUUGCCAUCAUUCAGUUGGGAACUCUAAUGGGACUGCCGGUGCUAAGCCGGAGGAAGGUGGGGAUGACGUCAAGCCCUCAUGGCCCUUACAGGGUGGGCUACACACGUGCUACAAUGGCGACUACAGAGGGUUAAUCCUUAAAAGUCGUCUCAGUUCGGAUUGUCCUCUGCAACUCGAGUGCAUGAAGUUGAAAUCGCUAGUAAUCGCGGAUCAGCAUGCCGCGGUGAAUAC
rnacentral:rRNA from 1 species